rnacentral:tRNA from 1 species
CGAUUUAGCUCAGUUGGUAGAGCAACGCAUUCGUAAUGCGUGGGUCGGGGGUUCAAAUCCCUUAAUCGGC